rnacentral:rRNA from 1 species
GGCAGUGGCAAUAGAACGUUGAAUACAACAGUUCCCUAUGAAUCUCUGAAGUUAAGCAACGUUGUGCGUGGUAGUUAUCCGUAUGGGUGACUAUCUAGCGAAUCGCGUAGGUACUGUUA